GUCCACGAGGAAGCAGACGUGCUCUCUGGUCUGAAAGCAGGCGUGCAGCUGCACCAGGAAAGGGUGACGCAGCGUCCUGAUCAGCUCCAGGAUCCGCUUCUCGCUCAUCAGGCUGCACGGGCGGGCGGCCACGCAAAAGACGGCCUUGACGGCGUACAGGCGCCCCGUGGACUUCAUCUCGGCCAGCAGCACCUGAAGGCAACGCAGUCACCGGUUGACCCAGCUUCACGUACAUCUUCUAAAACAACAUGAGUUACGACAACUCCAAAGGUACGGCGACAACAAUUGUAGUUACUGUUAGGCGACAAUGACCACUUUAACAGAUGCGACAUUUACGACGACAACAGUUACGACUAGUUACAGUACAAACUGGCGCACAUGGAGAUUUGUUGUUCCCUUUUCAAACACAACAUUGAGCUCGUGCUACCUUGCCAAAGUGACCUCUGCCCAGCACGGAAAUGUAGCGCAGAUCCGACGUGCGCAGCCUGAAACAGAACAAGCAGAAGACAACGUGUACAUUGUGUUGCGACUUGUGUGUCAAGUGGGUUGUUGUGUAUAAUCCCAUUUGUUGUUGUCGUGCGUGUGCGUGUACGUGUCCGUGCGCUUCUGUAUUUAUUUUGUUCAUUAUGUUUGCGCGUCAAUGUUUUUGUCUCGUUUUUUUUUUCCAUGUCUGCUUCAAGUUGGUUCUCGUGCGCCUGUUCUCGUGCAGCUUCUUAUGUUUCUGUUUGUGCCUUCUUGUAUUUCUACCCAUGUGCGUUUGUGGGUGUUUCCAUGUGAAAUACAUUAGUGUGUGUUCUUAUGCAUGUUGUUUGUUACGAGUACUUGAGAGCGGAGGCUGAGUGUCCUUGGCUUUCUUCUCUCCUGCUGAAGGACGACUGCCGAUCAAUCCAUGAAAUAACAAUGUCAAACGUUUAUUUCAGUCACUGUGAUCUCCCCGGACACACACACAUUGAAAAGUUGCUCACCGUCUGUUGCUGAAUUGUUUCCGAGGUUUCAUCACCAUGUGAGGCAUCGUCGUCAUCUGGCGUCGCCUCGUGGUGGCCAGAAAGACCAACACUCGUUGGCAUGCCACUAAACGAGAGCGGUGAGAGAAAAAAAAAUCACAUGCUCGUUGACUUUAGGUGUGACAUUAUCACACGUUGUGGGGAGGCCAGGACCACCUUGGCGGUUGGGACUGCGGCCUCGGCGGCCUCGGCGGCUGUGACUUGCACGGCUGAGGGGCGGAGUCAGUGGUGAAGGAGGCGUAACCGGGAAGCACGCUCAGCAUCAGUGAAGAUGCAUUGCUGGCGUCGUAGUUUGUGCUGUCGCUCCACCACCGUGUCCACAAAGUUUAACUUUGAGCACAAGUAAUCACAAACAGCCAAUAACAUUUCAAUUGAAUAUAUUAUAUUAUUAUAGCUUUCAUUUCACAUGUAGCUUGCAUUUUCUUUUUUAUUCAAAUACCUGAUGCCGAAAGGAUUAUAAUACCACAACAUCAAUGCUAUUUUCAUUACCCAGUC